UUAAAACCCUAAUGCUGACUAAAAGAAAGAGUUCAGUUUAGGGUUUAAACCCCUAAUGCUGACUAAAGGAAAAGAUCAGUUUAGGGUUUAAAUCCAUAAUGCUGACUAAAGGGAAAGUUCAGUUUAGGGUUUAAAACCCUAAUGCUGACAAAAGGAAAAUUUUAGUUUAGGGUUUAAAACCUUAAUGCUGACUAAAGGAAAGAGUUCAGUUCAGGGUUUAAAACCCUAAUGCUGACUAAAGGAAAGAGUUCAGUUUAGGGUUUAAAACCCUAAUGCUGACUAAAGGAAAGAGUUCAUUUUAGGGUUUAAAGCCCUAAUGCUGACUAAAGGAAAAAGUUCAGUUUAGGGUUUAAAACCCUAAUGCUGACUAAAGGAAAAGUUCAGUUUAGGGUUUAAAACCUUAAUGCUGACUAAAGGAAAGAGUUUAGUUUAGGGUUUAAAACCCUAAUGCUGACUGAAGGAAAGAGUUCAGUUCAGGGUUUAAAACCCUAAUGCUGACUGAAGGAAAAGUUCAGUUUAGGGUUUAAAACCCUAAUGUUGACUAAAGGAAAGAGUUCAGUUUAGGGUUUAAAACCCUAAUGCUGACUGAAGGAAAGAGUUCAGUUCAGGGUUUAAAACCCUAAUGCUGACUAAAGGAAAGAGUUCAGUUUAGGGUUUAAAACACUAAUGCUGACUAAAGGAAAAGAGUUCAGUUUAGGGUUUAAAACCCUAAUGCUGACUAAAGGGAAAAAGUUCAGUUUAGGGUUUAAAACCCUAAUGCUGACU
rnacentral:lncRNA from 1 species